CACGCCGCAGCCCCACCAAUGAGCGUGUCCCUGGGCGGAGCUUAACUCGUAUCACAGCGGCUCCAGCUGAAAAGCAGGAGAGUAUAUUGGUGCUCAGACAGUUCUAUUAAAUCCUCUUCCCACGCACAGUCCUGCAGUGCCGGGGAAUUUAUGUCAGCGCUGGGGCAGGAACCUGUUCUCAGACUAAGACACUUGUUUGAUUCACUGCGGGUAGCCAAUGAGAAUUCAGGGUAGUAGUCCCUUAUCUCUGUCCAAUCAGAAGCUGGAGUACGUCUUACGCGCCAGGACUCUACUAUUAGUGACAUGAAAGACUCCUGUCCCGCUGUCAGACUCUAUGGUACAGGUGUAACUAAGGGAGACCGGUAUUAGCUCAGGCUGUAAUCUCAGCACGUGCCCAAUGCAAUGGCAAAGCAGUGAUUAGUAAGUAACUGCACGUCACGCUGCUGCUUUUGCAUCUCUUACGCCAUGGAGUUGUGAGGAAAACGUGAUGCGGCUGCCUACAUCCAUCUCCAGGAGCCGAGACGAGUAGCUGAGGAACAUGUGGAAAUGUCCCCGAGCCAUCGCGCCGAAUGACAGGAAGUAGCACUUAAUUAUUUCACUAAUUGCACUUGUUGCGCUGAGUUAGACUGGUAGGGUAUCGGCAAUAGAUGCAGACACUGGCAGUGGCCUCACUACUUCCCCAGGGGACUCUGUGAAAAGUUAGUACCGGGCUCCCCUCACACCCCCGGGCCAGCUAACCCCGCCCCCGUAUCAUCACCACUUCUUCCUCCGUCUCUCCCGUCCCUUUUAUACUUCAAAUUUGGGUCGUGUUAUCUGAGGCCAGCGACCUGUAUUGCUGUCCUGUCAGUGUCUGCUCCCCGCCGCUGAGAAAUGUCUGUGAAUGAUCAAUGUCAAUUGAUCAAUGACCAAUGUCUGGCAUGACAACCAUCGGUGGAUAUUUUUUUAACCCCCUGAAAGAUUCAUGUCAAAUAUUCCCUUAAAGUUAUACCAGGAUUAUAAAGAAACAGGCUGGCUGUCAGGGAGUGCAGCCGGGAGUUGUGAAGGGGCCAAAUUGUCAUUAUUGCUGAACAAUAUCUGAAGUGUUUAAUAAUGUAUGUGCAAAUGUAUCAUUAUCAUUAUUAGUCAAUAUAGUUUGUGCUGCAGGAAGGGGGGAAGCCUGAGGUAUCCAAGUAUUUAAACGCUAGAGAAACACACACAGACAUGAUCACAUGAUCCAUGGUCACAUGACCCAGAUAACUGCCGUUUCUCUGUCAGUUAGGAGAGCCGAUCAGCCGAAGAACAGGUGAUUUCCUCAGCAGUUUUGGUCCUGACACGUCAAAAAUUGGAAAAAGGAGAUGAAAGAGAGAAGAUGACAAAGGGCAAUAUAGACUGGGAGAAGCAUCGCUGGAAAUUGUCCUUCCUCGUCUGAAUACAAAUUUUAUGCUAUCAAGCAUUUUUUUUAUCCAAUAGAGGAUCCAUCUUCAGCACAUCAAGUCUCCUUUCGACUAUUUUCCUAAUCUUAAUUGCCUGGUUGCUGUAUUGUGUAAUUAAAAAGUGUUUUCUCCAUAUUUUGUAAUUUUUUCUCUCCAAUUUUUUCUUUUUCCUUUUUUAGAUUGUGAAUGUACAAGUUCUUCUCUAGAAGUUGCAACUGCUGUUUCAUAAGCCAUCUUAAUAUGACAGUGUGACAAUAUUUAAGUUUAUAUUCAAUGCAUUGGUUUAAAAUAAAUAUUGAUUUUCUACAGUAAA